UACGUAGGGGCAAGCGUUUGUCCGGAUUUAUUGGGCGUAAAGAGCGUGUAGGCGGCCAGGUAGGUCUGCUGUGAAAACUCGAGGCUUAACCUCGAGCUGUCGGCGGAAACCCUCUGGCUAGAGUCCGGAAGAGGAGAAUGGAAUUCCCGGUGUAGCGGUGAAAUGCGCAGAUAUCGGGAAGAACACCCGUGGCGAAGGCGGUUCUCUGGGACGGUACUGACGCUGAGACGCGAAAGCGUGGGGAGCGAACAGG
rnacentral:rRNA from 1 species